GGGUGGGAAAUAUCUUGAGAAAGAAGCGGGCCAGGACUUGAACCAGUGAACCCAAACUCUAGAGGAGGAAAUGUUCAUCGCAGUUCGCUAACUUCACCAUCGCUGACAUUGAAGACCUCCUUACUUUUCCUCCCUGAGUUCCUUUAACGGUCGAUCUCUCAUCGUUAUUCCUUCGCUCCUCAAUCUGUUUGGCAUUCUUCUUUUUAAGCGUCAAUGCUGCUAUCAGUACUGCGUCUCGCCCUUGUCUGAAGAAUUUCUUCUCGUCUAUGGCGGAUAGGAAGAGUUAUCCCUCUCUUCCUUCGAACUACGUGAGUCUCGUUCAGCUUCAGGAGCGGUGGCUCCAGGCGAAGGAGAGGGAGCAGCGAGAGAAAGAGGAAGAGGAAAAACGAGCGGAGCGCAGGCGCGAGCAGGAGAGACUCAGAGAAGAGCGGGAGAGUCGGAGACUGGAGAAGGAUGAUGAUCAUGAAGCGAGUACAGAAAUUCAAUCGAGGUCUGUUCGUCGUCGGCCAUUUCAAAGGAAAGACUGGAGACGGAUUGGACCGAGAAAUGAUCGCCGGGCGGCAGAAGGGAGGUACGGGAAAUCGGAGGAGAGAGGAGUGGGGACUGAGGCAGUUGUCCAAGGGAGCGAUCGCGAGGAGAGACUCAGAGAAGAGCGGGGGAAUCAUAAUCUAAAGAAGGAUGAUAAUGGUGGUGUUGGUGCUGCUGCUGAAGCGAGUACCGAAUCUCAAUCGAGUUCUGUUUGUAGCUGGCCAUACGGCCGUGAACGGAUGGCACCAACAAAUGAUCAACGGAUGGUCGAAGUGAGGUAUGAGAAAUCGGAGGAGAAAGGAGUAGGGCCUGAGGCUGUUCUCGAAGGAGAGGGUACCGGUGAGAGCAAAGAAUCGAAGAAGAAGAUGAAGGAAAGAGGAAGAAAGAAGAACUGGAAGACAUUGCGUAGAACAGAUGAUGAAGGGGCUGGUGGUAGGGCGCAUUUGAUACCGAAAGGUGAGCUGGAGGAGAGAAUUCCAGUGACGGUGACUGCAGAAAAGGAAGAAAUGAAGACAAUCAAAAGACAAAUCCGGCAAGAGAGCGAAAAUUCAGAGGCAGGCGGCAAGGUUCUGGGGGAGAAAGCGCGGGUCCAUCGGGUGGCGGCGAUUGAACCAAAAUUUGAUAGUCUUUCGAUGAAUGAUGGCUAUAAAAGAGGCAAUCGUGGAUCGAUGAUGAAUAUAGAUAGUCGUCGUUGGAUGGACCAGGGUCAUGGAAGGAUCAGCCGCUCGGAAGUGCAGAAACCGAGACUCUCUGUUCGAGUCUGGGUUAGAAAAGGCGAGAGCAGUUCUGAUGGCAAUGUCUCUUGAAGACAGUCCUCGAGCGGCUAUGGCUGGCAUGAUUAAGGCAUUGUUCAUCAAGUAUCAGCACCACGUACUCCUGAGCAAAUUGGUAUGGUUGAACGACGCCAUAGGACUAUAAUAGAAUUAGAUGUAGAUUAGGCAGGGUGUCCUACCACAAGACCCUCAACCACAGGCUACUGUACAUUCCUUGGAGGGAAUCUCAUUUCAUGGUGCGCCAAAAAAAAAACAUACUAUUUCAUGUUCCAGCACAGAGGUUGAGUAUCGUGCCAUAGCUAACACUGCAACCGAACUCACUUGGCUCACCUUUCUCCUCCAAGACCUUCACAUUUCAGUAACGUCUCCUCCCACACUCUACUAUGACAACCUCAGUGCCCUUCACAUGACAGUUAAUCCUGUUUUCCAUGCUCGCAGCAAAUAUAUUGAGUGUGAUUACCAUUUUGUGUGCGAACGAGUUGCACGUGGAUUACUUAUCACUCAACAUAUCUCUACUCAUGACCAGGAUGCAGAUCUCUUUACAAAGCCUAUGUCAAAAUCCCUAUGUCAAAAUCAACACUUCAUUAUUUUCGCAACAAACUCUACCUCCAACCCUAGCAUAGUUUGUGGGAGGGUGUUAGCAAUUUGUCACAGCUCAGUUCACUGCUCAGCACUCUCAAUACAACAACUAAUCUAGCCAAAAUCAGUGGAGACGUUGAGUGAUACUAGAGUUCCAACGUCAAUAAAUUCAAACCACAGUGCUACCUCAACAACUCCUACAAAUCAGGGAAAUUCAAAUAAGCAUGGCAAUAUAUUUAAAUUCACACCAAAGAUGGAAGAUUCAAAUCAGCUUGAAGAUUACUCUAACGGCAAUAAAAUCAAACCAAAAAAGGAAGAUUCACGUCAACACGAAGAUCUGUCGAUAUCUUGACACGAAACCGUCGACGGAUACAUCGCUAGUUUCAGACAGAGACUACUUCAGAAGGAAACCAUCGAUUUUACGUUGACGGUUACAUCGCUGGUUUCAGACAGAGGCUAAAAUCAGAAAACUCAUCAACGGUUCAUCGAAUAGUCAACGGUUUUGCCUGAAACCGUCGACGAUUUGACUGUUGCUGAUUUAGCCUCAGCCGAGGAUCAUCUUGCUUUGAAUAUUUUGAGAUCCGAUGCCAAGCACGAAGUCUGAGGAGAAUACAUGCUAGUCAUAAUAUCUUCUUUAUUUACAACCUUACCAUGUAACUCUAUUUAAAGAGCCACUCCUUGUAUAGUCUUGUGUUCACGUAGCCAUCCUUUGAAAUAAGAUAUAUUAUUUUUUA